rnacentral:rRNA from 1 species
AAUCAACGCUGGCGGCGUGCCUAACACAUGCAAGUCGAACGCGAAAGCCCGCAAGGGUAAGUAGAGUGGCGCACGGGUGAGUAACACGUGGACAACCUGCCUUCGAGUGGGGAAUAACCUUCCGAAGGAGGGCUAAUACCGCAUAACACCUCGGGACACAAGUUCUGGGGUUGGAAAAGAAGCAAUUUGCUCGAAGAGGGGUCCGGCGCCUGAUUAGCUAGUUGGUGAGGUAACGGCUCACCAAGG